AUCCUGGCCCUGCUCUGGGCGCCCACGGCUCAGGCUGAGGUUCUGCUGCAGCCUGACUUCAAUGCUGAAAAGGGUCUUCCUGGGCAAGAAGGACCACCUGUCCAUGUCCACCAGGGCCAUCAGGCCCACAGAGGAGGGCGGCCUCCACGUCCACAUGGAGUUCCCGGAGGCGGACGGCUGUAACCAGGCGGAUGCCGAGUACCUGAAGUCUCUCCAUCCUCCACCCCCGCCUGUGGGAUGCCUUGUGGUUCGUCUCUUUCUAUUCAAUAAACAGAUGCUGCAGCCUCA
rnacentral:sRNA from 1 species